rnacentral:rRNA from 1 species
AUCCUGGCUCAGGAUGAACGCUAGCUACAGGCUUAACACAUGCAAGUCGAGGGGCAGCACAGUGUAGCAAUACAGUGGGUGGCGACCGGCGCACGGGUGCGUAACGCGUAUCCAACCCUUCCCGUUACUCUUGGAUAGCCUUCCGAAAGGGAGAUUAAUACAAGAUGGUAUUCAAAUUCCGCAUGUUAUUUGAAUUAAAGAUUUAUCGGUAACGGAUGGGGAUGCGUGACAUUAGAUAGUAGGCGGGGUAACGGCUCACCAAGGCGACGAUCAGUAGCCGGUCUGAGAGGAUGAACGGCCACAUUGGAACUGAGAAACGGUCCAGACUCCUACGGGAGGCAGCAGUGAGGAAUAUUGGUCAAUGGUCGGAAGACUGAACCAGCCAAGUAGCGUGAAGGAUGAAGGUUCUAUGGAUUGUAAACUUCUUUUAUAUAGGAAUAAAACCUCCCACGUGUGGGAGCUUGUAUGUACUAUAUGAAUAAGCAUCGGCUAACUCCGUG